rnacentral:tRNA from 1 species
CAAGGAGUAGUUUAAUUAGAGAAUUCUGGCUUUGGGGGUCAGCGGUGGAGGUUUCUCUCCUUGA